GGGCCAGCGAAGGUACCCCCAGGGGUACAUGUACCCCAGAUUGAGAACCGCUGCUGUAGAGAACUGAUGGAUACAAGAAAAGAAGGCUUGUAAAAGAUUGUUCGAUCAGGUGGGAAAUGAUAUGUGGAUCCUUUGAAGACUGCGUGGGUGACCUCAUCCAGCUAUGGAUUGAGUAGAAUGGAGACAUCUUAGGGUGAAGCCAAAGUAAACGCGACGGUGCUAUGCGACGCGACAGUGUAGUUCAUUGAUAAUUAUUGCUAUUCUUUUACGUCGCGUCGCAUCGCACGUCGCGUUUUCUCUGGCGGGCACCUAAGGCUUCUUGGGCUUAAGAUUGACAAUAAUUAAAUGAACAAAAAAUCUUUAUUCUAGGGAGAUAAGGGGGAAAACGAAGUUGGAUUGGUUAUCCACAAUCAUCUGCGAAAUAAAAAAUAGGGUUAGAAAAAAGAGUUUUGAAUGGCGGGCGUUGGGUCAUACUGCAAUAAUGGUAUACAUUAUCUUAUAAAACUGAACGAUCAUCUGCACAAUACUUCCUUUUAGGCAACAAUCUAGUCAUUAGACAUUCUACCGUUCUAUAAUUGUAGUUUUUUUUUCCUAUUUCUAUCCAUAUUACACAUUACAGUACUUUGGUUUCCAGUCAAGUAAACUAGGUAUUAUAUCGUCUCCGAAACGGUAAUCGGUAGUCAUUCAAACGCAAAUGCACUUAUAGUCAUAAAUAUAUUCUAGCAAAACGUUUAGAUACCCGUUUAUGAAAUACACACAAACAGUAAAAAAACUAGAACACUUCCAUCCGACUGCAACUUGAGUUACAAAAGUGAUUCGAUUCCAGUAUGGUUCACGUAUUAUAGUGAAUCUUAUCUCAGCAUAGGUUUUUCGUUCCAUAAGUUUUAAUGUAGGACUGUACGAUUGCAAGAAAAAAAAACAUAACUGCGCAAAGGUUGGAUUGUUGUGUUAAGGGUAGUUAUAAGAAUUUCGGCAAAUGAUUAUAAAGUAUCCAAACUGUUAUGAAAUCAUAGAA